CAGCCUGAGCUACACAUGGAGACCAUCUCUCUAAACAAAACAUAAAAGUUUAUGCAUUAUGAUCUGAGUAAACAUUUGGAAUUCUUAUUCUGGCUGUUUGUUGGCACUCAAGUUCUUUUUGGCUGGAGACGGGGUGGUCAGAGUUCUCAGUGAUCUCAGUCUACUGAUGGUACCUUUAGAGAUAUCUGAAAUUAAUUACCCCUUCCUGCUAUUCCUGUGAAUUUUGCCCAAUACCAAAGGUAUGGCUUACUGUUACAGCCCCCUCAUGCCCCCUCAUGCUGGCCUCUUUCUCUAGAGUCUAGACUCUGAGUGCCUUGAGAACAGGGACUCUCAUCUUUAUACCUUCAUUUUUCUCUCCAUCUUGUAAGGUUUCUGGUACAGGGUCAUCAGGUGGUGGCAGGGGAGUGGGUAGACACAGGGCUUCUGCCUUUGAUUCCAGUGCCUCACAACACAAAAGUCUCUCCAACUUUUAGUUUGUGCAUCUGAAAAUUUUUAUGCAAGCCUGAAGAUGUUUACUUGUAAAAAAUGCUACAAAAAUAUAUUACAGAUAUACAAAGGGCAACACAGUGGCUAUCACUUUAUCAAAUUAUUCUUCUCCUUGUAAAUUAGGUUGUUAGGGUUACUAUCAGAAAAUACCACAGGCUGCAUGGAUGAAGCAAUAAAAAUUUAUUUUGUGGGUCUAGAGAGAUGUCCUAGUAGUUAAGAACAUGUACUAUUCUUGCAGAAGUUCUAAGCCCAACGCACAGCAUCCAUGUCAGGCAACCCACAACUAUCUGUAACUUCAUUUCUGGGGAAUCAGACACCUCCUUCUGGACACACAGGCAGACACUCAUACACACACGCACACACACAAACACAGUUAAAAAUAAGGUAAAAUAUUAAUAAAGAAAUUAAUUUUGUUAUAAAUUGAGAUUAGACGUCCAAGAUCAAGGGGCCAUCUAGUUUCUUCAAGGACCCUUUCCUUGGCUUGCAGAUGAUGGACAUAUUACUGUGUCAAUGGGAGUUCAAAUUCAUGUUGUCUGUGCUUUAGUUUCCCCCUCUUCCUCAUUCUCCUCUUCUUGCUUAUGAAGUCUCGCUGUAUUGCCCAGGAUUGCAUCAAACUCAUAAUCCUGCCUAUUCCUCUUCAGGGCUGGGAUUACAGCCCUGUACCACCAUGUCUGGUUUACAACCUCCUCUUCACAUAAAGGGUACCGGCUCUACUUUAAUGACCCUGAACAUGUGCAGAGGCAUAGCUACUGAGUGUUGGAUUUCAGCCCUUAACAAUUUAACUCAGCAUGUCAAUUUCAUUAAUUUCUGUCUUUGGAUAUGAAUUUAGCUAGCUUUUGAACGUACGUAUUUGAAAAUGUGCUUUAACUGUAAAACAGAUGUAUAAGCUGCCAGUGGUGGGAUGCUCUCUGUUUAGAACAUUGCUAUGAGUAACUUGUAGUUAGACAUAUCCUCACAUUUGCAUUGAGAGCCCAAUGAGUUUAACCGUGUUAAAUUCACUUUGGUUGCUGCAAAGUUGUCUAAUUCCAAAUAUACAGAAUUUCUCUCUACUGUUAUGUGCCGGUAAUUGGAACAGUUUCUUUUAAAUGGCUAAUGAGGUUUCUUUUUAUUUUAAACCAAGACUCAAUUUGUGUACCACUAUACAGGUAAUGUCUGACACUAUUAGCUACCCAGACUCAGGUAACAGAAAGAAAGACCUUUUACCUCAAACACACACAACUGAAAUGAUCAGAAUUGGGUAAGAAAAACGGAGUUGAUCUUUGUGAUUACAAAUGACCAUAUUUGCAUUUACACUUCAGUUUUCAUUAUGCCUUUAUUUUUAAUCUCUUAAAAGUAUAUAAAUAAUAGUAAUAGUAUAUAAAUCUCUAUUUCUGUGACACAUGAGGAAAGUGAAGCCUGAGAAGAAAUGUACACCUCCUUGUAAAGGAGUUUAGUCAUGGUUUGGUACAUCUUCUGUCCGACCAUCUGUCCGUCCAUCCAUCCAUCCAUCCAUGUGUGUGAUCCAUGUGUGUGUUUGUGCGGUGUGCAUAAACUAUCAAAGAAAUGUAGCUAUGUAGAAAAGUAUGGCUCUUUGGUUCUCGGAGUCUCCUCUGUAAUCUGUAGGUUGAUUAACCUCGUGGGGUGGUCCCGCAGUUCUAAUUUAUGGAGGCCCAGCAUCUGACACCUCACAAGCAGUCAUCAUUUUCUUCCUUAUAUUCUGUAACUAAGUGAACAGCCAAUGACACCAGAAUUUUGCAGCUUCACGUUUCCCGAGAGGUGAUCUUGAGACAGCAGCGCGGUCGUCUAUGUUCACAGCUCAAUUAAUCUCCUAUUAACUGUAAUUUCAUUCCUAGCCCUUAAACUCCAUUAAUUACCAAACUUGUGACUGCUGUAAACAGGCUCUCACAGGCUUCAUGCUAUUAGUGCAGAAAAGCAUUCAUCGACUUCAAAUCAGAUGGAUUUCCAAAGGCACGAAGCGCUUUUCAGCAUGAGUGGGCUGAGAAGGAUGGAGGGCAAAUGCUAAUUUGCCACCAUGUUUGGAAGCUCCGGGCCUCUGCUCCUCACACAGUGAAGCCAUUUCCCCGUCCCCCAGUGAGAUAGAUGGUCAAGUGCUAGAGUUUCCUUCUCUGUGUUUGAAUGUCUGACAUCUUGAAGACAUAAUAACAAGUUUUAGCCCAGGCUAUGUCUGGCUUUUACUUUUCUAUCUAGCUAUGUUUCCCAGGGUUUGCACACUUGGAAAAAUCACAGGAAAAUGAUGAUGGCUUGCUGUUAAAAAAAAAAAAAGUGAAAUUCCUAUAGUAGAAGUUUCACCCACAGGGGUUUUAGAACAAUCUGUGUUGUAAAAGAUGGCACAAGCAGCUUAAACAUUUCACUUUUGUAUUAGCAAAACUGUUUGGGUGGAAUUCUACUACCAUUUUAUUAACAAUUUAAACAAUUCUUUCAAACUUUGACUGCAUUAUUAAUUGUUGUUAAAAUAUAAAACCUACCAAUGCAAAACAUUAUGCACGUGCUUUUGGGGGAGUAAUUUUCAACAUUUUAGGCAUUUUAUCUUUUUUAUGUUCCUAGAUGUGCCUUCCUUUCUGUGUUAUCUGUUUUGGAAAGCUGCUUUCUCUCUCUCUCUCUCUCUCUCUCUCUCUCUCUCUCUCUCUCUCUCUUGCCACCACUACUCCCCCCCCCCCCAGGCUGCUGGUACUUUCUCAUAGUUUAGAAUAUUAUCUCUCAACACGUGACUUUAUUUGGUUCCAUUCUGCUUAUUUCUCCGUUUCUAUUGUUCAGAUUUUUCUUUUAAAUGUAUUUAUUUACUCUUUAUUCAUUCAUUCGUUCAUUCAUUCAUUCAUUCAUGCAUGCAUGCAUGCAUUUCAUGUGUACGUGUAUAAAUAUUGAGUGUAAGCAUGCCACAGGACAUGAAGUGGCCAGAGGGCAUCUUGAGUCAGUUGAUUCUCUCCUUCUACCUGGGGAUCAGACUGAGACCACAAGGCUUGGCAGCAGCCUCUGUUACCUGCUGAGCGACCACACUGACCAGUUGUUUACCAUCAUCAUCACCACCGCCACCACCACCACCAUCACCAUCAUCAAAUAACUCUCUCAUAUUCAAAAGCAAUGCAAAAUAUGCUCUGUCUCUUAGUGUUUCCCCAAGUUGCUGUGCCUUUUCUAAGUCUCAUCUGACUCAGUUGUGAAGUAAGCAUGGUCAAGACUUCCCGCAUAGGCUGCUCCAAGGCCCAGCUUCAAACUGGGCCCUGAAAGCACAAGGAGUCAGGAACCUCAAUGCAGGGUUGUGAGAAUUUUGCCAACUGAAAGAGGGGUUUGAGUGUGCAGUGACCAGCCUCAUUUGAAAUAGAAUGCAUAGUGAGUAUGUUGUGUUGUUGGCAGUUCUCACCUAGUUACAGCUCUCAACUUGGCAGCAGCCUUGGUUUGGAACACACAGCACGCGAGCUCCCUUUGCAUUCACUGCGCAUGCCCCUCACGCCUGGCCAUGCCGCCUGGAGCAGCUCCGUUGGGAUUCGGAGGAGAGGUGCUCUGAGCGACUGGAUCUCUACUCUCAAGGAAGCUUAAUGAUUUAAUUAUAGAAAACAAAGACAUUUAAUGCUUUUCUUUUUUUACUGUCAUUUCUUGGCAUGUAAGUUUCAGAUUAAUGCUGCUUUUGAUUGGAUUGAUUUUUAACAACUGCUGGUUCAGUUGCUGAGUUGAGUCUAAUAAAAGAAUAAUUCCCUGAAUUUGGCCUUGGGAUUAUAACAGAACUUCUAAUAAUUUCUGAAAUGGGCCUAAACAUACUUCUGCCAUUUUAUACUACAUAUUUAUGCAAAGUGGCAUUUUUGGCAUUGACAAUAAUAAAAUCAAAAUGUUGACCAGCUUUGAAAAAUGUUGAAGAUGUUUCAUCAAUUCAAUAUUUAACUAAGAUUGCAUAAAAAUAAGCAAGCAUAUCCUAUUAGUGUGUGAUUUUGCUUUAGUUUUUAAUAGGGAAUACAAUAUUUAAAAACUAAUUUAUUGUGAGUUCAUAUUGUACUUGAAUGCUUAUUUUAUGUCCCUCUGUUGUGUAAGAACAUCUUAGAUUGAAAGGGGAAAUGAAUGGAAGAUGCUGAAAAAGAUGAUGAUGAGACACGGACAUAAAGUCUCACAGCCAACGUUCAGUUUCUUGAUUAGGUACAUUUUCUUACUGCUUUUAGGAACAGAAUUGAAGUUCACAAUCUUGUUAGGACUCUUGGCUCAUAGGAACAAAUCUGACCAUAUUCAGAGAGAUUUUUUUGCAGAACAGCCACACAACAAACACAGAUCAUGUGGAUCAUGUGCGAGUGGGGUUUAAACCACAGCUUUGUUUUCUAGCAGACAAAGGACAGAAACGCACACUGCUCCUCUCUCUGUGGUCCACAAUUCUGGUAUCACCGACGUCAUUUCUGUACUGUGGCGCAAGCUGAAGGUGCCACAGGUUCCCAGAGCACCAGUUUUAUUCUUCAAGCUUGUAGAUUGCCAUUGAUUCUUACUGGUUGUCUGGGGCCCAUGCAAAGCCUGCAGGUGAAAAUUGGGCUUUAAUUAUUUUUCCUUUUCCUCUGUUUAGCAUUGGGCAUCUGGGGCUGGGUUUUCUUCCUGCUUUAGGCUGAAUGUAUGGCCCUGGGUGUUCCCAUCAUUUUGUAGCUUUUCCUUUUAGUGAAUCUGAAACUCUUCCAAAGUCAGGAGGAGGGGGGAAACCUCACAAAAGUAAUCCUGAAAGAAAUCACUUGUUUGACUGUAAUAAUCUAUAGAAACUGGUUAAAGCAUUAAACAAAAAAUAAAUGAAUCCAAUAGAAGAGCUAUGUCAGGAAAGUGCCCUUGGAAUGUGUAGGAUAUUUUCUGGUACAAGGGGGUUUCUGAGUCAUGGUUCAUUUACAAUGUCUGUUUCCUCACUCAGGGAAGGGUUCUAAUAGAUUCAAGGAGACUCAGAGACUUACAAAUGUCUUAGUCAAAUAAAGGCGGCUCUGUGAGGGAAGAGAUUUGUUCUGUUUAUGGAGAAAACUUGCCAGUCAUGUCUCACAUUGUGCACCCUGCUGAACAACCAUCGUCUUUCACACUAGGGUGAUGAUGGAGAAUCGAGUCUCCGAGGUCUCUGCUCAGAGGGGUCUCGAGCUGUGACCUUUUAGACUAACUAGAGAAGGAUGGCCAAACUCAUUCCGGAAGCCUUGGUAGACUUAGAGAAACUGCUAGCCAGAUCAGGAAGAUUACGAAAGCCGUCCCGAUGUUUUACUUCCAUAAAGUCUGAUGUAGGCUUCAGCUGUGCCACUGGGUUUUAGCUCCUAAGCCAGAGCAUCAUGGUCCCUGCACAGGAGGAAUUUGACGAAACCUCAGCAGUCUUGAAGAUGCUUGUCUUAGUUUUCAGGGUCAGACUAAGGAGUGGAGUUCUUGAGUCAGUCCUGCAGGCGGUGGUCCCUAGAACAGUGGGGUUUUCUUUAUUUCAAUUGGAAUCGCUACAGGGCUGUUGCCAAGAUGACGGAAUGCCAUGGCCUUGGGGGAAACUCUAAGCAUUUGACUAUAAAUCCGAGCAGAGGGAGCAGGGGACAUAUUUUGGCUUGCUUGAGUUUUAAACUGAAUUUCUGGGACCACUGGAAACCAAAUAAAUAUCAUCUGCCUAUACAAGGGAGCACCAGUUUUCCAUGAGUAUCCUGCCUUGGUUUGGGUUCAAGACUAAAUAAUGUGUCUUUGAUCAUUGAUGAUGCUUGGAUUAUCGAACACAGUAAGGAUUCCAUAUGAGCAACCAUAACAGGCAGGCUGGAUAGGGCUGAGGAGAAAGGCCCCUUUGAAUUUCCUUGCAUGGUACUAGUGAAUUUCAUCUUUCUCCUCUGGAUGAAGAUGAUUUAUACUUGAUGGCCCAGUUUUGUCUCUAAGCCUUAGAAUCUAAGGAAACACCUUAUUGGGAACUGUGCUUAAAAAUGCCCACUGCCUAAGAGCUCUAUAAAGAUUAUGAUCCUAUGAUAAAUCUAUGUAAUUCGUUUUGAAUUUUCCUUUUCUAUGUGUCUUUGUAUAUAUGAGCAUGUGCAUUUAUGUGUACAUGUAUGAACACAUGUAUGUGGAAGCUAACAAUCAACAUUGCAUAUCAUCUUCAGUUGCUCUCCGUAUUAACUUUUGGGAUGGGGUCUUUCAUUGAAUCUGGAGCCAGCCAGACUAACUGGCCAUCAGCUGUAGCGAUCCUCUGGUCCCUCCCACACAGUGUUUGGUUUACAAGCAUCUGCUAAUGUCCCUGUCCUUUGUACACGGAUGCUUGAACACUAGGUGAGUUGCCACCUGAGCCAUUUCCCCAAAUCUCUUUUUUAGUACUUCCUCCCCUCCCAUAGCAGGAAGAUCUGCUCACAGAUACAGGAAGUCUUCAAGGAACCCUGUGCUGUUUCUUCCUCUCAGAUGAUCAGAAAAGUUGAGGUGGGGACAAGACGGCAGCUUUAGAACUUCAAACUCGAGACAAAGCCUCCUUACUCUGCAAGCCUGAGAGCUUCUGUGGCUUUGGGAAGGAGAGGCUCCACUUUUCCCUUCCCUGUGAAGUUUUCUCAGAGGGCAUUUUCUGAGUCAAUGGCUGUGGAAUGAUUCCUAGUGACCCUUCUUCCCUUGAAGAGCAAUCCCUGGACCAGCAGUUCCAGAGUCCCCAGGAACUAUUGAGAAAUUCAGUAUCACAGGCUCCACUUGGAGCUUGAAGCAAAACUUGCAUAUGAAUAAGAUCUGAUGUGAUUUCUGAGAUCAAUACAGUUUGAUAAACAGACAGACUCAUGGUCUCUGCUCAGUUCUUUCCUGUUUCCGCAGCACACUUGAAAAUAAUAACCUAAAAAAAAAUCAUAAUACUUAGAAUUUCUUCUGUGACAAUGAGAGCUAACCUAGCUUCCUAAAUGUCCUAAAUCCGCCAACUUGCUCUGUAAUCAGAAAUGACCUUGAGGUUUGAACCUUCUGCCUCCACCUUCAGAGUGCUGGGAUUGCAAGUGUGUAGCGUCAUGCUUGCCUUAUGUGAUGCUCGGCUUCAUGUAUGCUAGGCAAGCACUCUAUCUACCAACCACCUCUCUAGUCCUCUGGGUUCUUUGUACUUAAUUACCCAGUUCUGUGCUGUGUACUGUAUUCUUCCAAAAGAGCAUGGGUUUUUGUUUAUCUAUCAUUGCAGAUUUGUGUCAGGGGUGAGAAUCUUGUCUACUUAUUUAGGCUCACACCCUGGUCUUUAAAAGAGUUGCUAACCUCAAAGUUUCUAAGACUCUGAGUCUAAACAGUGAGAUUUUCCAACUCAAUACAGAAAGGAAUUAUAAACAUAAAUGUGACAGUAACCAACAUUAAAUAAUAACACUUUCAGAGAUUGGUUUACUAACCAGAAGAAAGGAAUAUUCUUAUUGCUUAGUCUGGACUUUGAAACAGAGCUAGACAAGUCUAGUUUUAGGAAGGCAGGAAGGGAUGGAAAGGGAGUAAGAAGGACUACAAAAGAAAAUCAGGGAGCAGACGGUACCACUAAAAACCACGCGAAGGAGACGUGACAAGGAUUGGAUUUGUUGGCACUGGCCAUUGGCCAACAAGCAUAGAUUAGCUAGCAGAUGAUAUUCGCAGUGGACCUGCUUAUAAAGAUGCAGGAAGGCCUUUGAACAGCUCAGUACCCCUCCACCCCUGCAAACAAUUCCAUAUUCCCUGACAAUGGCCUGUGCAGCUACAUUCUCUCUUGGUACUGUGGUCACAAAAGUAAGUGAAGAAGAGGAUAUAUUUCUAUACAGUAAAUGAUGGACACUUGAAAGCCACCAGAGCAUGACAGUUUUCAUUCUUCAAGGAGGUAGAAGCUUCACUUGGUUUCACAGUCGUGACAGACACAAAGCCUCUUCUUGUUAGGCUGGGCCUCACCUCUGAGAGUUCUCCAAAGACCUUUCCAGCCGGGCUGGAGUUUGUCAUGAUUUCAGUGACUUCAUAGGAGCUGGGAUUACAAGAAAAAUACUGUAUGCUGCCGACAUUGCCAAAUCUGCCUCCUGUAUUAUUCUAUGGAGUGUUGAGAAUCUUUGUAGGAGAAAACGCUCUGUGAGAUUUUGUUCAGUGGAACCUUUAAGAAACAUUCCUUUUUUUUUUUUUAAAUCUAAUCUUUGAGGUUCAACUACGCACACCCAUUUUAUGUUAGGGUUUGUCCUCUUCAGUUAGAGCAUCUUCCCACCACUUUUCUGGAAGAGAACAGAUUUAAUUUAUGCUUUGACAGUUCAUACAGGUACACAAUGCAUUCUAGUUUUCUCUCGUGUGUUUUUUUUUUUUUUUAAGUUUCCUCCCUCCACAACCAGCUGUUUCCCCAGGUUUAUGACUUUUGGUUUUGUUUCAUGACACAUUAAGUUUCUCCAGGACCAUCCUGUGUGACCUUAGGAUAGGAAGCAUCCACUGGUGCCUAGUGGGAUCCCCAGUGAGUAUACCAUUCAAGGCUAUGACUGUUCCCUCCUCGAACUCAUUACUAGCAAAUAGUUCAUGAAUGAAAGGUAGGGCCCUGGGCGCUCCUCCUCUGUCAGUGCCUGACCUCAGAUGGGCCCAUUAUUGUGCAAAACAGAGUAGCACCCUCAGCUGCUGUGGAUUUGUAUCUGGAAUAGCUCUGAGUUGGCCAGAAGGUGGCAUUUAUAGCCCUUUUCCAACUUUCUGGUUCUUACAAUUUCCCCCACCUCUUCUGGUGCAAUGAUGUCCUGUGACCCUUCGAGAGGAUGCUGUGAGUGUCUUGUCAGAGGCUGAGUACUUCACCACCGCCUUUUCUAGGUGUCUUGUGUCACUGUGACUCUGCAUUUGCCACCAUUCACUGGAAAAGGGUUCGAUUCUCUGAUUAAAGCUGAUAUGGGCAUUGUCUAUAAUUGUAUCAAUUUAACAAAGUUAAAUUCCCUAAUCUUAUGUUAAAAUGUCAUGUUCUUUAAAAUAUAUAGCUUGUAAGGUUAAGAAGUUUUCAUUUUUUAUAUAAAUUGGGACUGAGAAUGGAGUUUCUCAACAAGCCCAAUCUUUGAGAUGAUUCAUAGUUGAAAGAAUGGAAUGAGGGGAAGCUCUUCUUGCUUUUCACUACCUAUAACUGCUUCCGUGGAUAACCUACCAUGCUCUGGCCAUGCACUAGCAUCCACAAGUACUAUAGCUGUUAUUUCCUUAGACACUGGUCCAGGAAGAAGCAAUUGCCCCGCUGUCUUCUGCUUCUCCAUUUUCUAGUUUCUUUAUAAAUUUAAUUUCAGAAUCAUGGGUCCCUCAGAGAUCACAUGGUCCAGAUUGUCACGGGGGUUUAAAAAUACAACAUGGGCACUUGGUGCAGGGGCAGUGUUAGAACCAGGUUACUGGCUUGCCAGGUUUGGAUUCCUUCUAGAACACUGUCCUUACCAAGCCAGUUGAGUCUGCAGUAUUGACUGGGAGAUAACACUAUGAGCCUGGAACAUGGACGCUCUAUGAUUGGCCUUUGUCACAGUGGAUAUUAGUUAUAAGAGGAAGAUUAAAUUUGCAGACGGUAUGAGCUACUUUUAGCUCUUAUUCCUGUAAAAAUGUGUUGAAAUUAACUGAGAUAUGGCUCAUUCCAAUAUGCCUUUUGGAAGAAGAAGUUAUGGCUGGUCCAGAUGACCUGUUCCUUACUUUGAUGGACAGGAUGCUAGUGGUCUCUCUGUGGUUUAAUUUGUCCUUAAAUGCUAUGCUGACAUUUCUGAGUGUCAUUUCUGUAUGAUGCUACAUUGAGUUUUAAGCCAGAUUCCUCACACUUAUCCUAAAGCACUGAUGACAGAGAAACAUCUGAAGGACAGGCGCUACAAUCCAUUCACAGGUGCCCCUUUUCCUAUUAAUAAAAUCACAGUUCUCCACUGAGGGAACUGGCUCUGAGCAGUCAGCCUCUACCUUCUGCCUUUUAAGUGGUGUACAAGAGGAAGGGCUAAAAUAAAUAUGAGAAAUAGGAAAUACACAGAAGCCAAUGCUUUUGAUAGUUACGUGGCCACAUGUAAGAUGGUUUCAUUUCUCAUUAUUACAGAUGAGUUCACGUAUGGUUUUCCAAAAUCUUUUGCCAUUGACUCUUUUCUCCUGAUUUCAAGAAUUCUGAUGCCAGCAGCCCUUAUAGUAUUUCUCUGCUGGACAAGCAGGAACUCUUGUUGUCUUUGUCCCAUCUAGGAUUUUGGCCUCUUCCCUGGUACCCACCACCUUUCUUACCACAACACUCAGAAUCAACUUUUCUCAGUGCUGUCACUAAUUUUUCUGUAACUACUAUUGGUCCUAUGGUAUAAUGAAAACUAUUAAUUCCUUUUAGAUUGUAGUUGUUUUUAUUUAUGUGUAUCUAUGUAUGUGAACUUAAUGUGUACCUGUGUCGUAGUGCCUCUGGAGGCCAGAAGAGGGCGUUGCAUCUCUUUGAGCUGGAGUUGCAUCUCUUUGCAGGCCUCCUGAUAUGGAUGUUGCGGACCUGAACUCCAGUCCUCAACAUAAAUAAAACACAAAAGUAGCACAUAGUAUUUUGGGAGCUGAAUUCCAAUGGUCACUGAACAGAACAGUUUAAAGUUUUAAAGAGAAAAUCUUUGACCCAAAUAAAGAGGUUGUUCCAAUCCUUUGAAAUUCCCAUGGUUGGUUGGCAGUCAAAUGAAGAUUAGUGGCACCCCAUAUCCUUCAGUUACCUCACGUUGUUGAGUUCAUAAUGUCCCUAAUGUCCAUCACUCCCUGCUCAAACUUUUCCUUUUUGUCUUUCUGUUAAAGUCAAACAUUAUCACAAUUAAUAUUUAAAAAGGGAAUUUUUACUGGGAAUCAAUGAGACAGUUUGGCAUUGACCUUCAUUUUCUUUGGAAGAUGUUUAUUUUUCUUGUCAGCUGCAGGGGAAGAAACGUGCUGUGAAAACCUAUAGACCCCAGCUGUCAAGAGCAUUUGUCUGGGAUUAUUUUGAUGGUAUGCUGGUGAUUUUACCAAAGGCAUGUCCCAGAAAUGAAGCUGUAGACACAGGGGCCUCAUCUUCCUCAUGCAUGUGUGUGUGUGUGUGUGUGUGUGUGUGUGUGUGUAGAAAAGUCAAAAUGAGGUGAAUAGUAAAAAUGAGUAAAAAAAAUAUAAAAAUUUAUGUACAGAUUUUCAUUAAGACAAAUGCUUGCAGAAGGUGUUGAUGGCCCAUCUGGCCCUGCUACUUCUGGGCUCAUCAGUAUUUCAGCAGAAGACAUUAUCCUUACAUCAGAAAUACCAUCUGCAGUGACAACAUGCAGUGAGACCAGGGACCCAUGCCCUUUUGCAGAUGUCAGGCCAUUAAGCAAACACCUGAACCUCAAUGCCAGGACUGUAGAGUACAAAGUUGUCUCUGAGUCCUGCAAACUGACCCCAGACAGAGUGAGGUUCACCCCAGGGGGAAGAUUCUAUACUAUGAACUGUCUAACGGAGAGUUUAGCAGAAUCACAUCAAAACAGCCCAGCUGUGGUUAGGGUGGUUGCAACUGGAUUCUUUGGAGAACACUGUCUUUCCUUUUGCACUUAUCAUCAUCUCUGUGUUAGUGUUGGAAAGAAAAGAGUUUUGGGAAACUUUUGGUGUUAGUGACCUUUGAAAAUAUCUCUGGCCUGGUAGCUCUUACUCAGGGUUUUAGAUAUUUAGGUGUUUGGUGUAGUGAUUUACCCCUGAAGCUAUAAGGGAGCUUUCCAUAUGGAUUUGAGAAGAUGCGAAUGAAGAUUUGCCAGGCAGAAAGAAAUAUGAUAAUAUCUCUGUGUGUACACAUGUGCGCAUGCAAAUUAUGUGGUUAUGAGUUAGGCCUAGUUGUUGAAUUCAAGAGAAGGAUGGCUGGGAAUGGGGCUCAGAGUUCAUCUUUUUUACUGGUUUCAGCUAAAUGAAAAUGUACAGAGCUCAUGAUUUUGUAGAUUACAGGUAAGUCCUCUUCAAUUUUCUUAGUAAUUGGACAAUAUGAGGGUAAAUGAAAAUAAUACCAUUUUUCUCUUGUUGUCUUUAAAUCUCUUUUUUUCUAGUUCACUAUAAACAUUUAAAUAUCUAACCAUAAAGAAAGACAAAGGGAGGCCAUAUUUUAAGAGUGAUCAGGGGACAGGAGUGUUUGAAUCUAUUUCACAAGCUGAUAUUUACUCCUGGACACUUAGUCAACUAUGUUAACCCUAUAGACGCUGAGAAGAAAUGCCACAUGGUGUCUGUUAUUUGCCCUGUGGUCUUCUAGUCUCCUGUCACAGUAGGUGUCAACCACACUCCAUCUUACAAACCAGGGUGUUUUCAGCCUCUGGGAGAAAGUUCAAAACCUUGUUCUGAGCCUCCUCUACCCACUUCCUUCUGUUUUAUCAGUGUACAAAUGACACAGUAACUAAGGACAGGUCUGUUAUCCUGUCAUAGACCAUGCUGAAGGGAUUCCAAAAUAAAAAUUGUCAUCCAAGAAGGGUAGCUGAUGGGCUGCAACAGCCAUUGUGAAGAGCAAAUGCAAUUCAGGUAAAGGGUGGGGUUGGCAUAGUUCUUUCCCACAGCUUUCUGACAGAGGCUCUUUGCGCCAUUUUGUGUGCACCAUCUGGGACUUGUCUGAGCCACUGGAAAAGUGAGGUGCCUUUUCAGUACAUGGAAAGUAAAUGUGAAAAACUAUUUGCUCUCUGAAGGCUGGUUUCUAAAUUAUUAAGAAAAGUAGCCUUCAUAUACCUUGUUUUGAGCUCAGACAUACCAAACAAGAGAGACAAGGUGGAGGAGCUCUUCCGGGAGGUCCAUGAUAGGCCCGCUUGUCUUUCUUCAGGUUACUUUUCCUCAAGUAGCUUUAGGAUCAUAGCCAUCAUGCCAUGGGGUGACCGGCAAGGGAAAUUCUUAGCUAAUUCGUGUGGGUGCUUGCCAUGAUCAAUGUGGAUUGGCAAGGUGCCGCUUUAGCACUGCAAAGAGGGGAGAGAAUGGGGCAAAGGCUAGAAAAGGUGUGUCUGAAAGUCAUGUUUGCAAUGCACGGUUAGGACACACACACACACACACACACACACACACACACACACACACACACAAGCACACACGCACGC